AAGUCGUAACAAGGUUUCCGUAGGUGAACCUGCGGAAGGAUCAUUACCAAUCGAAACAACAACAAAAAGGCAAGCUGGAGCGGGAGUUGGGGUUUGCGCUCUUUCUCUCCGUCUCUGGUUUCCUUUUUUUUCAACCAACCCUUGAUUGUGAACCAAGGAAAAACCCAUAACAUCUUUCCUACAAAAAAAUCAUCAUCAUACCACCACCAUGCAAAAGGCGCGUCUUUUGUCAUCUCGCAUGCAAAAGAACACCGCGCGGUUUGUGUGCGUGUGUGUUAUGCUGCCUUGUGGGAAAGAAAAUUAUUAAACCCCAACCAAAUUGACCGCAACAAACUUAUUGUUCUGUUGUGCGUUGAGAAAAGCAGAGCUUGUCCAAGCAAACCAAAGAAACUAAAAUUUCUAUACAACUUUUAACGGCGGAUCUCUUGGCUCGU
rnacentral:misc_RNA from 1 species